rnacentral:rRNA from 1 species
ACGAACGCUGGCGGCGUGCCUAAUACAUGCAAGUUGAGCGAUGAAGAUUGGUGCUUGCACCAAUUUGAAGAGCAGCGAACGGGUGAGUAACGCGUGGGGAAUCUGCCUUUGAGCGGGGGACAACAUUUGGAAACGAAUGCUAAUACCGCAUAACAACUUUAAACAUAAGUUUUAAGUUUGAAAGAUGCAAUUGCAUCACUCAAAGAUGAUCCCGCGUUGUAUUAGCUAGUUGGUGAGGUAAAGGCUCACCAAGGCGAUGAUACAUAGCCGACCUGAGAGGGUAAUCGGCCACAUUGGGACUGAGACACGGCCCAAACUCCUACGGGAGGCAGCAGUAGGGAAUCUUCGGCAAAGGACGAAAGUCUGACCGAGCAACGCCGCGUGAGUGAAGAAGGUUUUCGGAUCAUAAAACUCUGUUGGUAGAGAAGAACGUUGGUGAGAGUGGAAAGCUCAUCAAGUGACGGUAACGACCCAGAAAGGGACGGCUAACUACGU